ensembl:lncRNA TMEM72-AS1 TMEM72 antisense RNA 1
CCCGCCCCGAGCACGCCCCUCACUCCGCACCGGCCAAUGGCACCGCCCCGUCCGCCCCGCUCUGGGAACGCCGCCCUUUCUCUGUCUACAAAACCAACUUCCUCGCCCAGCUCAUGGGAACACUUAUUCUGUUGUAUAGAAUGAAGUGUUGCUUGAUUCUAGAAUCAUGCCAUUAAGAACAUUCAUGAUUCAUGAGAGGAGAUCAAAAUAUCAACAUAAACAGGAGUUUGAAAGAAGUUGAUUUCAACCCUUGUGGAUGACUAUGAGAGAUUCAAGGCUUCAGUGGAGAAUGCACCUACAGAUAUGGUGGAAACAGCAAAAGAAAUAGAAUCAGAAGUGGAGCCUGAAGAUUAAACUGAAUUGCUGCAAUCUCAUGAUAAAACUUGAACAGAUGAGGAGUUGCUUCUUACAGGUUCCUGGGCAGUGCAGUGGGAUGUCUGCUUGGUUUCUGCUGAUCCUCACAGAGCCUGGUGACUUCUUCCUCCCAGGUCUGUGGAUCAACACUGUCUCCCUGGCCUCUACCCAGCGCGCAGGACCCCUUAGCAGAGCAGGAGAACUCAGGUUGGAACUCAUUAUUGCAUGGUGCUUGUCUUGCCAUCUGUCCCCAUAAUGCCUUAAGUGACAAUGACAUAGGCAUCUGACAAUGUAUGUGGCCAUCACUUUUUAUCAUUUUAAGAUAUAUGGGCCUUCUUUUUCCAACUCUUUUCCCCCGCCAGACAGCCAGGAGCCCAGAGAAGGGUUGUGUUGUGUCCUUUACUGAGCCCCACAGGCCUGUGUGAGCCAGGGGCUUGGCAUGCCUGGGAAUAAGAGCGCCAGCCUUUGGCCUUCCCGCAGCCUCUCCUUGGGGCCUUUAGGGUCCCCACAGGCCCUCCCCUCCCCUCUGCAUUUUCCAGGAUCCAGCCAGCUGCCGGCACACUUUCGUCCUCCUCCGCACACGAGGAUCCCCAGGCCCAGCGGUGUUAGCCCAGAGAGGAGCGGCGUUUGGGAUGUGAUCCACAGCUGAUCCCUCGUGGCCCCUCCUCUCCCGAAUCCUGAAACAUGAGGAGGCCCUUCAGCUGCUGGCUCGGAGUCCGACUAUGGGAACUUUCUCCGGUCUACGGGGGCAGCAAGGGUCUCGCCUCAGGGACUUGGUUUAUUUAUCUAGCUGGACUCCAUCCCUUAAUAUCCUACUUACAGAGGAAGAGGCUUUAGCAGCUAAAUGCAGCCCCAUCCCCUCCUGUGGAGACUGUGAGCAGAAAAAGAACAGAUAUUUACAGAGGCCCGAGCCCCCCUUGUUGUUUUCUGCAAGGCUGUCGAGCUGGUGGAGCUUCAGGAUCCUGGUCAGGAACCCCGAACCCAGCGCUGGAGGCCCUGAAGAUCAGGGCACCCGACCCUCUUCCCAGCCGCCAAAGGCCUGUGUUGGUCUGAUUGUGGAUUCCAAGCUCUAAUUUCCAUCCAUCCUCCCAAUCCGAAUUCCCUUUGCAGACAUAAACACCAUCAGCAAUGUAGAGAAUGUGUUUCCUCAUCUUUGAAUAUUAACACUCAUCUGUUUAAUUGAGCUACUUUUUACAUACAUGUAAGAUGUGCUGCAAUUGCAAAAGAAACAUGUGCUUCGUGUUCUAUAAGCCAUAUCUUCCGCAAGACCUGCCAUCAAAUGAUUGCUCAAACAUUUGUUGAAUGGGAUGAGCAAUGGAGGUUCAGACAGGUGCCCUGACCUACCCAGGCUGGAGGGUAGGGAGCUAGAAAUUCAUACAACCAUGCCUUGUUCUACUUGUUUUGUGAAAGAAUCAUGUGACCAGUGACAAAGAGGCUGGGCAGCUGGGUCAGGCAGCAGGGACAGCGACUGAGCUGGGGGGACUACAGUGCUGUGCUCCUCUGCACCCGUGCUGGGAUGUCUGAGGCCAAGCUGACACUGGCCCCCCACAAUCCCUUGGGGCUGCUCCUCCUCAGGGAGUGGCUCUCCGGGUUUCCUGCUUGACUCCUGCUGCUCUUGUGUUGAAGGGCCGUCUCUGGGCAGCUCCCCCUGGCCCCUGGCCAGAGAGCCAGGCCCUGUCAGGCACGCACAUGGAGGAUGAGGGAGGUGCAGUUGUUUUCACAGGUGCAGACUCUAGAGGGACCCCACGUGGACUCUGUGGCUUCUGCCCCGACGCACUCGCGGGAGGACACAGCUCUGCCCGGAAGGGAGAGUGCUGAGCUGGGUCCCUGCUGCUCAUCUCUGUGGCAUCACCCUGUCAGUCCUUCCCUGUCACACAUAUGUUCCGCAAGACCUGCCGUCAAAUAUUUGCUCAGUCAAACAUUUGUUGAAUGGGAUGAGCCAUGGAGGUUCAGACAGAUGCCGUGACCUGAAGUGUCAAAUGAAGGGAUGCGUGUGUGAUGGCCUUCACCAUUUAUAUUGUUUUAAACUUGCUAAGCACUAGUUAAAAUAAAAAAGCCAACACUUUUCUUUACA